rnacentral:rRNA from 1 species
ACGGGGUGCAGCAGGCGCGAAAACUUCACACUGGGGGGAACCCCGAUGAGGGAAUUCCUAGUGCUUGGGCAUUUGUCCAAGCUUUUCCCGAGCGUAGAUAACUCGGGGAAUAAGGGCUGGGUAAGACGGGUGCCAGCCGCCGCGGUAAUACCUGCAGCCCGAGUGGUGGUCGAUUUUAUUGAGUCUAAAGCGUUCGUAGCCGGUCCGUUAAAUCCUUGGGUAAAUCGGGAAGCUCAACUUUCCGACUUCCGAGGAGACUGGCGGACUUGGGACCGGGAGAGGCCAGAGGUACUUCUGGGGUAGGGGUAAAAUCCUGUAAUCCUAGAAGGACCACCGGUGGCGAAGGCGUCUGGCUAGAACGGAUCCGACGGUGAGGGACGAAGCCCUGGGUCGCAAACGGGAUUAGAUACCCCGGUAGUCCAGGGUGUAAACGCUGCCGACUUGGUGUUGGGGGCCCUUCGCGGGAACUCAGUGCCGGAGAGAAGUUGUUAAGUCGGCCACUUGGGGAGUACGUCCGCAAGGAUGAAACUUAAAGGAAUUGGCGGGGGAGCAC